rnacentral:rRNA from 1 species
CCCUUAGAUGUUCUGGGCCGCACGCGCGCUACACUGAUGCAUUCAACGAGCACCCGCUGGGCCGAGAGGUCCGGCUAAUCUUUGAACGUGCAUCGUGCUGGGGAUAGAUGAUUGCAAUUAUUCAUCUUCAACGAGGAAUUCCUAGUAAACGCAAGUCAUCAGCUUGCAUUGAUUACGUCCCUGCCCUUUGUACACACCGCCCGUCGCACCUACCGAUUGAAUGGUCCGGUGAAAUUCUCGGACGCGGACUUGCGAUGUUAAUUCGGAGCUUGAUUGUGAAAGUUAAUUAAACCUUACCAUUUAGAGGAAGGUGAAGUCGUAACA